rnacentral:lncRNA from 1 species
GCUUUUUCAAGCACCCUUUGAGACCCCACAUUUUCAACAUCAACCAAAGCCUCAAGUCUCUCCAAAUGUGGCCAUUCAACAAAUAUGGUAUCAACCACCAUUUUCACAGCUCUCGUUACAAUCCCUUUACCCCAAUACUUGGAUGCCAAAACAUACCCAAGUUCACCCCUACACUUAUCAUUGCCUGAAUUUGCACUCACCGAAAUAGCACCAACCGGUCGAUCGUCAACACAUAUUGCUCUAAACCAAGGGUGAGGCACAACAGUGUUCUUUAUGUAAUUCAAGCCAUCUUCUUUGUUGGUGUAAGGUUCCCAAGUACAAAAACGUGUCACUUUUUCAUCACUGGCCCAGACCAUGAAAUCAUCCACAUCUGAAACUUGUAAUGGUCGGAGAGAUAAGUUGAGACAUUCAUCUUUGGCUUUGGUUUGGUCUAAUUGAACAACAGAGGUUGCUUCCAUGCUGGGUUUCUUGUAAGAAAUUUUCGGUUGGUCCCUGAAUGUGUAAUUAAACUAAAAAAUUGGAUGAGAAUUAACAAAGUUUAGGUUUGGUAUAUAUAGAUAAACUAGAAGAUGAUAGCUUGGAGAACUUGCUAGGAACCUUAGCCAAACUAUGGUGCUUUCCUUUUUGAGUAAGGAGCAAGAACCGAGUGGUGCUUUAUCCAGCCGCCCUGUUUGACUUUUGAGUCAAGAACUAAGGCUGGUAGAUGUCAAUUUAAAUGAUUAUACUUUAAUUUUAUAUUAAUUAUUUUUUAUUUUAUAUCUAACUAUUGUGAUAUACAGAUAAUAAAUAAAUUUUUUAUUCAUUAUAUUACACUAGUAAUUAAAAUUUUUGAGAUUUUAAAAAUGGCAACCAUUAACUCCGAAAAUGAAUCUCUAAAUCGAAUAUAGAGGGUAAAAAAAUAAAAAAAAUAACCCAAAAAUCAUUUCAAAGAUAUUAUAAUAUUAAAUUUAAUAGACAAAUAUGGAGAUUAGGUUUUGUGCAUUGUAUUUUAUAUAGGCUUUUUUGGUGCACUUAUUUAUUUAUAUUAUCAAUUUUAACUAACAGAGAUCCCCAGAUUUGGACCAAAAAGAAAAGACCCCCAGAUUAUAUUGAAGAUUUUGGACCACUGGCAGCAAUCCAAGUUGACAAAUCUCCUUUUUGUUGUCCAUUGUAUUGAAGACCUCCAUUGCACUCAAAGGGUCACCACAUCUGAUAGCAAACAUAGAAACUUAAAAGCUUGGUCAUAAUAGUACUACAGGGAUGGUGAAUUAGGCCUUAGUUCCUAAUUUCCUGAACUGAAUGAGGUUUCUGCAAUUUGUUUUUGGUAGAAUUUUUAAGCUUUGAGAGGUUGCUGCCAUUGUUGGAGUGCUUUUUAGGUGCCUGUAAUAGCCAACUUAACUGAGUUGUUCUUGGGCUUAUAUUCACAUGCAUACAGAUUCAUGACUAAAUUACCAGAAAAGGCCUUUUUAUUUUAAAAAACACGAAAUAGGCCACUUUUUAUAAAAUUGACAGAAAUGGGCCGUUUUUAUUAAAAUGCGCCCAGCUGGUGCCGUUUUUAGGGGAAAAUCAGAAAAGUUUGUCCAGCUCAGUGCGAUUUUUCCCUAAUCAGUAAAGCGCUUUCACCUUAGUGUGUUAAGAAAAAACGCGUCCAGGUUAGCGCAUUUUUAAGAGUUGAUAGAGAAAUUUGAGAGAUUUAAGAGAGAAAUGUGAGAAAAUAGUAGGUGGGGAGUUUUAUAUUUCUUUUAUGACCAUUGGGGGUGGGGGUUGGUGACUGUUGGGGCCAACGACUAUUUAAAAUAGCCGUUGGAAGUGACUAUUAUGGGGGGGAGAGAACGCGCUGAUCUAGACGCAUUUUUCCUUAACACGUUGAGGUGGAAGCACUUUACUGGUUAGGGGGAAAAACAUGCUGAGCUGAACGCGCUUUUCUGAUUUCCCCUAAAAAUGGCACCAGCUGGGCACGUUUUAGUAAAAACAGCUCAUUUCCGUCAAUUUUACAAAAAGUGGCCUAUUUCUGUGUUUUUCAAAAUAAAAGGGCCUUUUCUGAUAAUUUAGUCAUGAAUCCGUAUGCAUGUGAAUAUAAGCCCAAGAACAGCCCAGUUAAGUUGGCUAUUGCAGGCACCAGAAAAGCACUCCAACAAUGGACUUUUACCUGAUUUUUUUUAUUUAAAAGAAUUAAAUGAUGUAGAAAUAAUUAUAUAUAACAUAAAAAUGAUGAAAUUUACCUGAGUUUAAAAUAAUUUAAAAUUAAAAUACUUGUAACAUGGAUUUUUUUUCUAAAAAGUCGAUACCUAAAAUAUAUAAUUUAAACUCAAAAUAUCGGUUAAAUUAUCAUCUUUGUUCAUCCUAUAAGUAGUAAUGGAAGGUGGUGCUGACAGUGAGAUUGUCAGCGCCAACAUGAACGGUAGAAAACAGGUCAUUUUCAUACAAGAUUUUACACUUAAGUCAUUUUGAAAAAGAAAAAAAAACUCUAUAUGUGAAUUAAAAAUUAAUUUCCAAUCCACCUGAAAGUUACUUAUAAUUUGAGAACUUAAUUAGAACAUUAUGAAAUCUAGAAACUUAAUUUAAAAUUCGAUGUAUAAUUUUGAGAUGUAAGGUGAAUUAACCCUUUGAUAAAUCAUAACAUAUUUAUAAGUUCGAUACUCAUUAACAAAUUGAUUUUAUAUUAUAAGUUCAAUUUUAAUUUUUUUGGUGCUAUAACAAAAUUUCCUUAAAAGAAUAUAAAUUUUAGAAUUUUUAUGAAUAUUUUGAUUUUAAAAAUUAUUUUAAUUUUUUUUUGUAAUUUUUGUUGAGAGAUAUUAAUUUCUUAAUUUUAAAAUUGACAGGAAUCAAAGGAGUAUAUAUCAAUCUGUUGUUUGAAUUAUUCGAGUUAUUUAAAUUAUAAAAUUCAACUCGAAUCUCGAAUUAUAAAUAUUUUUAAUAAUAUAAAACAUAAAAAAUAUUAAAAUUAAAUAAUAAUAUAGAAAUGAAAAUAUUUCUCACGCUCUAAGAAAGUUUGAAAGCUGAAAUUUAAAUAUGUCUCUUUCAAAAGUGAAAAGUUUUAUAUAUUCUAUUAUCAAAAUUUCCACUCAUUGUGUCCAUCAAUCGAGAAGGUGACUUGACUUGUACACAUUGGUUGAACGUUGUUUUUGUGCAAUAAAAACUUGGACAUUUGCAUGCAAUGCGAAAGACUUAAGACUUAAAAGGCCUAUAAUAUUUCAUACUAUCAUUUUUUCUGGUCCUAAAUUAAAUAUUUUAGAAUUUUCAAAUUAAGACGGUACUCAUAAUUUGAGAACUUAAUUAAAAUAUUGUAAAGUUUAGGGGUCAAUUUAAAAUUCGAUUAAACCAUUUUGGAUACUCAUUAACAAAUUGAUUUUAUCUUAUAAGUUAAAAUUUAUAUUUUCGGUGCUAUAACAAAAUUUACUUAAAAAAUUAAAUUGUAAUUUUUUUAUUUAAAAAAAAUUAAAUGAUGUAGAAAUAAUUAUAUAUAACAUAAAAAUGAUAAAAUUUAUCUGAGUUUAAAAUAAUUUAAAGUUAAAAUAUUUGUAACAUGGAUAUUUUUUUUUUAAAGUUGAUACCUAAAAUAUUUAAUUUAAAGUUAAAAUAUCGGUUGAAUUAUCAUCUUUGCUCAUUCUAUGCAUAGUAAUGGUUCUAAUAGGGUUUAAAGUGCUAUAAUUUAGUCUUUUUUUUAAUGACAUAGAUUUACACUGACUAUUUAUACAGAGUAAGGAGUGGGCAAGAAAACUACAACCUUGAUAUUAAUAAGUUAAUGAAAUCGAUAAAAUAUUAAAAUCUCAUUCUUCAAAAUUAAAAUGGAAAAAAAAGAAAGACUUGACUAAAGUGGUGGUAUUGAUUGGGCAAAAAGACUUGGAAACUGCAUGCCAUGCCAAACAUGAAAACUACACAUUUGUCUAUAAAUAAGUUGUAUGCCAAGCACAAUCCUUCUUCACACCCAACAAACAUGAACACUCUUCAUUUCCUUAUUUCACUCUUCCUCUUCUCAUGCUUCCUUUCUCUUGUCUUGUCUUUUUCACCUCCUCAAACUCAUCUCCCUAAGCAAUGCCUUGAUGACCAGAGAGCUCCUCUGCUGCAAUUGCAGCAUCAUCUUUACUAUGCCCCUCAUUUUACUUUCUCUUCCAAAUUUGACCUCUGGGAUGUCAACACUGAUUGUUGUUCUUGGGAAGGAGUCACUUGUGAUGCUUAUGGUCAUGUCGUUGGCAUUGAUCUUAGUUACAAAAACCUUUCAGGCAGCUUCCACUCCAUAUUCGAUCUCCAUCAUCUUCAACACCUUAAUCUUGCUGGAAACAACUUUAAUACCACUCUGUUUUCGUAUGGGUUUGAUAAACUCCAAAAUCUAACUCAUCUCAACCUUUCAAGCUCAGGUUUCCAUGGCCAAAUUCCAGUGAACAUCUCAUUCUUAUCAAGGUUAGUUUCUCUUGAUCUAUCUUAUCAAGUUGAUUACUGUUGGAGAAGUGGUUAUUAUAAUCUAUCAAGACCACAUCUGAAAUUAGAGAAACCAAACUUCAAGACAUUUAUCAAGAAUUUGAAGUUUCUCACGGAGCUUUAUUUGGAUGGUGCCGACAUUUCAACUCAAAGUACUAAAUGGUGUGAAACCACAUCUCCUGUGCUUUCCAACCUGCGUGUGUUGACUCUGUCAAACUGCGGUUUGAAAGGUCCAUUAUGUUCUUUACUCUCAAGACUCCCUUUUCUUUCCAAACUUAUCCUUGAUUGUAACCCAAUCUCUUAUUUACCUCCCAAUUUCUUGCUAAAUUCCUCUCGUUUGGUUUCCCUCAGUUUGAGUGGUUGCAAUUUGAAUGGGCAAUUUCCAACCGGAAUUCUCUUAUUGCCAAAAAUUCAGAGCAUUGACAUUUCAAGCAAUGACCAACUCAUGGGUCAGUUGCCAGAAUUUCCAGCAAACAAUGCAUUACUGAGUCUGUCACUUGGAGUCACAAAUUUCAGUGGAAAACUACCUGAAUCGAUUGGUAAUCUUAAGUUCCUGACAAAUUUAGAGCUUUCUUAUUGCAAUUUUUUUGGACCCAUUCCAUCGUCAAUUGCAAAUCUUAGUCACCUGGUGAACUUGGAUCUAAGUUCAAACAAGCUUUCUGGAUCAAUACAUUCUUCUUUAUUUACUCUUCCAUCGUUGAAGAACCUGUAUCUUGGAGACAAUCAAUUGGUUGGGAAAAUUGAUGAGUUCCCCAAUGCAUCUUCUUCUUUGAUUCAAGAAUUAAGUAUGGGAAAUAAUUAUUUAACAGGACCAAUCCCGAAGUCAAUCCUUCAACUUCCAAGGCUUGAAGGGCUUUAUAUCGGAGACAAUAGCUUCAGUUCCAUGAAGCUUGACAUGUUUGUCCAACUCAACAACUUAAGGACUCUUGGGCUAAACAAUAUAAGCUUGUUAAUUGAAAGUGACAACAGAAGUCUUACUUUUCCCCAAUUAGAGACCCUAAGCCUAAGGUCAUGCAACCUUACUGAAUUUCCAGAAUUCAUUAAAAGGCAAGACAAGUUGGUUAACUUAGAUCUUUCUAACAACCAUAUCCAUGGUUUUGUGCCCAAUUGGUUGUGGAAGAGCAGUCUUUCAUGGGUAGACCUUUCUUUCAAUGUGAUUGAUUUUCCAAAACAGCUUCCCUUAAAUGAUGCAAACUUCUCAUUUCCAAUGUUGACAGAAUUAUAUUUGAUAUCCUGUAACAUAAGUGCGUUUCCAGAGUUCUUAAAGAGUCAAAAAAAUUUAGAAGAAUUCGACGCAUCUUAUAACAAUUUGAGUGGCCCAAUUCCAAAUUGGUUAUGCAAUAUGAGUCAACUUAGAUUUUUUAAUGCAUCUUAUAACAAUUUGAGUGGCUCAAUUCCAAACUGCUUGGACAAUAUGAGUCAACUUGACAGUUUCGAUGUAUCUUAUAACAAUUUGAGUGGCUCAAUUCCAAACUGCUUGGACAAUAUGAGUCAACUUGACAGUUUCGAUGUAUCUUAUAACAAUUUGAGUGGCCCAAUUCCAAAUUGCUUGGGCAAUAUGAGUGCUCUCUAUUCAUUGGGUUUGCAAGGAAAUAACUUCAGUGGAGUGAUACCAAAAUUUUCAAAAGCAACCCAACUGCGAUUUCUGAAAGUUAGUGGGAAUAGAUUGGAAGGGAAGUUGCCCAGAUCAUUAGCAAAAUGCACUAACCUUAUGGUUUUGGAUGUAGGAAGCAACAUGAUCAAUGAUACAUUCCCAUUUUGGUUGGAGAAAUUGACUUACUUGAUGGUUCUAAUAUUGCGGGAAAACAGAUUUUAUGGUCAAAUUAAACAUUUCAAACAUAAAUCUGUUUUCCCAACUUUGGAUGUAUUGGACAUUGCUUCAAACCAGUUUUCUGGUGAACUAUCCAUUGAUUUCCUUCAACCCACUCGACUAAGGUCACUCAAAAUAGGUGGGAAUAAAUUGGAAGGGAAGCUGUCGAGAUCAUUAGCCAAUUGCUCAGCACUUGAGGUUCUGGACCUUGGAAAUAAUAUGGUUCGUGAUACAUUCCCAUUUUGGUUAGAGAAGCUACCUUCCUUGAAGGUUCUCGUUUUGCGAGCAAACAGAUUCUACGGCACAAUUUCUAAAAUCGACUCGGAACGUGGGUUUCCAAAGCUACGCAUAUUGGACAUUGCUUCCAACAAUUUUUCAGGUGACUUGUCCAUUGAAUUUUUGCAGAGUUUGAAGGCAAUGGCGAAGAUGACUAAUGACGAAAAGGCUAAGCUGGAUUAUAUCGGAGAGGAUUAUUAUCAAGACUCUGUGACAAUUGUUAACAAAGGGAUUGAAAUGUUCUACCAGAAAGUCUUGACAAUUCUUACUUGUCUUGACCUUUCCAACAAUAGUUUCCAUGGGAGAAUACCAGAAGAGAUACAAAUGCUGAGGUCACUCAGAGUGAUGAACUUAUCCAACAAUGGCUUUUCUGGUGAAAUCCCAUUUGCAUUUGAAAAUCUAAAAGAUCUUGAAUCUUUGGAUCUCUCAAGAAACAAGCUGUCAGGGAAGAUUCCUGCACAACUUACAAGUUUAACUUUCUUAGCAGGAUUGAACUUGUCUUACAACCAACUUGAAGGGAGCAUACCACAAAGCAACCAAUUCAUUACAUUUACAAAUGAUUCCUACCGUGGGAACCCAAAAUUGUGUGGGCUGCCAUUGUCAAGGAAAUGCAAUGAAGUUGGUCUUCCAAUGCCACCACCUCCAGGGGAAGAUGAAGAUUCAUGGUUAUAUGCUCUGUCUACUUGGAAAAUUGCGUUGAUAGGUUAUGCUAGUGGAUUAGUCGUUGGGCUAUGUAUUGGAUAUACAGUGCUGAAUGAGUUGGGAAACAAAUGGGUUGACAAGUUCAAAAAGUGUGGGAAAAGAAAUAGAAGAAGAUGUAGGUGACUCCAUCCGAAUUCUUGCUUCAAAAUUAGCUGGUACGCAUUUGUCUUUCUAAUUUGAACAGAUAGUUGUUGAUAUGUAUAUAUAUAUAUAUAUAUCGGUUAUCAUAACCUCAUUUUUUGCUGUCUUUACCAAGUUCACUGUCAUAUCGUACUCGUAAUUUUAUGCUACCAUUGAGCAAUCCAGAAGGUACUUGAAGCAGGACAUGGAAUGUACAGUUGUGAGGUUGAUGAAGAAUGUAGGCAAUGAUCCUAACAAGAUCAAUCCACUGGUUUGUAAUUUUGCUUUAUAUGCACUUUUUUCCUUUUGUAGUUCUCCAUGAGUACAAAUAACUGUUUAUUCAUUUUGGAUCCAGGUCCCUGUGGAUUUGGGGGAUGCAAUGUUUCACUGCUACUCAAUUUCCAUGCUAAUAAUGAUAUUAUAAACAAGGAAAUGGCUGCCCAAGCUUUCUUUUAUAUGCAAUUUACUUCAAUUUUUUUAUCUUCAGAAUAUUUGUACAGCUGAGGAGAUUUGAUAGCAUGAUGUUGAUGAAAGCCAUAUCUGAUUGUGUAAACAGACAUUAGCUUUAUUUUUUAUCAAUCACGUGUUAGGCUUUAGGACCGGGUGUAAAGGGUGGACCUGUUGGUCCGGGUUUUAGUUCAGCCCGACACUUAUUUUUUAUACUAGUUUAUUUAUCCUUUCAAUGAUAGUUUUAUUAAUUUAAAAAAUAUUGUUGAAUUAAGUAAUAAUAAUAAUAAUUAAAAUUUAAUUAAAUAAAUUAUGUGUUAAAAUCUAGUAUGCUUUCCAAUGUUAGCCAAAGGCCAACAAUAUCUCACACUAAUAUUUUCUUUGUUAGUCCAAAAUUAAAAAUUUCAAAUUAGAAUGUCAUUUAUAGUUUGAGGACUUAAUUAAUUUUUUUAAAAUUUAGAGACUAAUUUAAAAUUUAAUCCAUAAUUUAAGGAACUAGCCCUUUGGUAAAUCCUAACAUAUUUAUAAGUUCCAUACUCAUUAAUAAAUUAGUACUUAAAAUGCUCAAUUUGGAUGUAGACAAAAGUCAAUUAUGAUAAAAAUUAAAAUAUAUGAAAGUAUGAUGCCUUAUAAUGUGGUGUGCUUUUUAGUAUUGGCAAACAAUCUAAAACAUUAGAAUAAAAAAAAUUAAAUCAUAAUUGUUGACACUAUUUUUUUUGGAUGGAAAACGGGGUCGACUUGGGUUUUAAAAAAUGAAAACGAAAACGGGAGUCGCCACCAAUCUUUUUUAUAAGGUGUGAUCGGAUCACCUUGAAAAGUGGUUGUUUUUAAUAAAUGCUUUGAUUUUAUUAAAACAACGAUUUUGGUCCACGAAAUUCAGAAAAAUGGGUUCGGGAGUCAGUUACGCACGAGGAAGGAUUAGCACCCUCGAUACGCCCAAAAUUGGUACCUAGUUGAUUACUUAAUGUCUUAGUGUCGAAAAACUGAAAACUUUAAAGAAAUUUAAAAUACGAUCCUUAAAAAAAACUCGAAUGGCAUGGAUUAAAAUUCAAAAGGAUAUUUGGUAAUUUGGAUAAACGAGAAAUCGAAACCCAGCACCUUAGGGCACGUUCCUCGAAUUUCCAAACGCAAAACAUUGCCUUAUUUUGAAAUUUUUGAAGGGGUAUUUAGCUAUUUGGUUGAAUGAGAAAAAUCGACACCCAGCACCUUAGGGCAUAUUUUCUCAAAUUUCUAAACGCAAAACAUUGCCUUAUUUUGAAAUUUUUAAGAAGGAUAUUAAGCCAUUUGGUUGAACGAGAAAAAUCGACACACAGCACCUUAGGGCAUGUUUUCUCGAAUUUCCAAACGCAAAACAUUGCCUUAUUUUGAAAUUUUUAAGAAGGAUAUUAAGCCAUUUGGUUGAACGAGAAAAAUCGACACCCAACACCUUAGGGCACGUUUUCUCGAAUUUCUCAAACGCAAAACAUUGCUUUAUUUUAAAAUUUUUAAUUUUGAAGUAUAGUGUUAAUAUGCACAAUGGGAUAAUAAAUAUGAUAAUAUGAACAAUGAUAACAAAAACGAAUAAUGGAAUAAAUCAAUCAUGCAUAUACCAUAGCAAAUAAAUAAAUAAACUAAGUAUAUAAAAAAAAUGGGCAAAUAAAUAAAUGCAUAAAUGAUCACACAAAACAAUAAAGGAAAAUAUAUGAAAACUAUAAAAUAUGAACAUGUAUAUGUACAUUUAAGAGAAAUAUAUAUAUAUGUAAAUAUAUACGUAAAAUUAUAAAAAAUAUGAAAAAAUAUAUAUGAAUUAUAAGAUAUAAAAAUAUAAGUAUUUAUACAUAUAUAUGUAUAUAGAUUAUAAAAUGCAAAAAUAUAUACAAUAUAAGUAUGUUUGUUAUAUAAACAUGUGUACACACAUAAAUUUAUAAAAAUAUGAAAAAUAUAUGUAUAUGUAUAUUUUAAAAUUAUUAAAAUAAAAUAAAAUAAAUAUAUGAGUAUGUAUACAUAUAUAAAUAAAUAAAUUAUAAAAAAUAUGUACGUAUAAUAUAAAAAUGCACGCAUGUACAGAUAUGUAUAGCAAAAUUGGAAAUUUGCAAAUAUAUGUAUAUAUAUAUAUAUAUAAAUGAGGAAAUAAAAUAAUAAUAAUAAUAAUCAUAAUCAUAAUAGAUUUAUUAAUAAAAUAACCAAAAUAACGAAAAGAGGACCGAAUUGAAAUUUUAAAACAAAAUUUGGGGUUAAAUCAUAAAUAAAUUAAAAGGGAAGGACCGUUCUGAACACGCAUGUAACAUGGAGGGACUAAAAAUGAAAAUUAACCUUUCCUCAAAAAUGACGUCGUUCCAACAGGGACCAAGUCGAAAUAAAAGAAAAAUAAUUGGGUCAAAAUUGCAAAUAAAAAUAAACUGCAUUAGAAAAUAUAAAAUGCGGAAGGACCAAAGCGGAAAAUAUCCCAAAAGUCGAAAAUGCGCGGAUCCUGUAGCGGGUCGGGUCUCGCGCAGGGGUCUGGGAGUGAAACGACGUCGUUUUGGGUGUUUUGGAGCUGAGCCAAAACGGCGUCGUUUUACAAGGGUAUAAAAAUCAAUGUUUUGAGAAAAAAAAUCAUUUGAGCAUUGAAAAGAAAAAAAAAACAGAAGAAAGAAAAAGAAUCCUCUCUAGACUAAGUCCAGAUUCCGGCCAAGGCCCACCGUUCCGGCGUCUCGCCGGUGGCCGGAAAUUUCAGAAAAAGUUAUUUUUUUUAUUUUUUUUCGCACUUUUCUCUUUAUAUUAUAUAUGUAUAUAAGUAAAUAAACAAAAAAAGAAAAAAAAUAUAUCUGAGAAGAAAUCGAAAAUAAGAUAGAACACUGGCAAUCACCUUUAAACUUUUUUUGCUUUUUUAUUUCUGUAAAUGCUACCAAAAAAGGAAAAGAAAAGCCCCCUGUUACAAGAAUGAAGUUCGGCCCCCCCCCCCUUUUUUUGAUUUUUUCAUCGGCCUUAUAUAGCCAAAAAUACAAAAAAAAAAAUCUCCCUUUUGCUAUCCGUAUUUGCUGCUGCUUGUUGGUGUUUGUUGCAGGUACUGGCGGAGCAGUUGGAGCAGGUGAGUCGGUGGCAAGUGGGCGUGGUGACGGCUGCGAACAGAGGGCAGGUGAGGAGGCCAGGAGCAGGUGCGGCACAACAGGGGGCUAGGGUUUCUGCUAGGUGUUUAGGUUUUGGGCUGAUUGGGCUGUUAGGGUUUUUAUUUUUUUGGGCUUUGUUUGGUUGUAAUGGGUAGAGGUUUAGGUUUGUAUUUGGGUUGUUGGGUUUUAUUUUCUUUGGUGGGCCGGGCGAAUUUGGGCUUCUACAAUAACAUAUUUAUAAGUUCAAAUUAGAACAUUUGAAAUAAAUACGUGACCUUAAUAAAACGGCUCAUUUCCGUCAAUUUUACAAAAAAUGGCCUAUUUCCGUGUUUUUUUUUAAAUAAAAGGGCCUUUUCUGAUAAUUUAGUUCUAUAAAAGAAAUAGACCAGAUUCAUUAGUAGAUUUCUGCUGGCCAUUACAAGGGGGGAAAAAGAAAAUUUCAGAAAGAUUUGUCAAAGAGAACCCUUGAUAUAGCUCUAAUGGUGUUAGGAGUAGUCCGCAGCAACCACCAUAGAGACAAGCACCUGCAUUUCUCCAUUUCCCUACAUAUGACACAAAAUCCUCUUCUGUUUCCCCUCUUGUUUUCUGCAUUUCCACACAUGUUAACAUGAGAAUAAACAUGUUAACUCUGAUAAUCAGUAGAAAGAAAACUAAACAUAACCCUGUCUCUAGACCUCCCUUUUACUAUUAAAUACUUCCUCAAAACACCUUCUCUUUGGAACCCAGCUUUUUCAAGCACCCUUUGAGACCCCACAUUUUCAACAUCAACCAAAGCCUCGAGUCUCUCCAAAUGUGGCCAUUCAACAAAUAUGGUCUCAACCACCAUCUUCACAGCUCUCGUUACAAUCCCUUUACCCCAAUAUUUGAAUGCCAAAACAUACCCAAGUUCACCCCUGCAUUUAUCAUUGCCUGAAUUUGCACUUACCGAAAUAGCACCAACCGGUCGGUCGUCAAUACAUAUUGCUCUUAACCAAGGAUGAGGCACAACAAUGUUCUUUAUGUAAUUCAAGCCAUCUUCUUUGUUGGUAUAAGGUUCCCAAGUACAGAAACGUGUCACUUUUUCAUCACUGGCCCAGACCAUGAAAUCAUCCACAUCUGAAACUUGUAAUGGUCGGAGAGAUAGGUUGGGAUAUUCAUCUUUGGCUUUGAUUUGGUCUGAUUGAACAACAGAGGUUACUGCCAUGCUGGGUUUCUUGUAAAAAAAUUUGGGUUAAUCUCUGAAUGUGUAAUUAAUUUGAAGUUUUGGAUGAGAACUAAGAAGAUUAGGUUUGGUAUAUAUUGUUAAACUAAAAGAUGAUAGCUUGGAGAACUUGGUAGGAACCUUAGCCAAACUAUGCUGCUUGGUGCUUUCCUUUUUGAGUGAACAGCCGCCCCUUUUGAUUCAAGAACUAAGGCAGGUAGACAUGAAUUUAUUUGAUUAUUUGACCACAAAAAUUGGUAGGCAAACUUAAAGGAAAAAUUUUGACUUUAAUUCAUCUACUUAACUUAGAAUGUCAAAUUAAAGUAAAUUUUUAAAUUUUUAAAUAAUCAACAAGUUUUUUUCAAAAUUGAUCUAAAAAAGUUGAUUAUUUAUGAAAAUAAUUUAGGUACAAAAAUGAUAUGUUUUCUAUAGUUCAAGUCGACACCAUCCUCCAUCAUCCCGUAAUGAUUAUCCUGUCUAUUAAAAAUAUUUUUUUUCCUAACAGAGUGUUCAUUGACAUCAAUAUAUAUAUAUAUUUCAAAUAUAAUUAAAAAGUACGGAUAUUUUAUGAUUAAAAAAUUAAAAAAAUUAAUAGGUGACCGUAUUUAUGUUAUCGACACUAAUUCAAACUUUUUUUAAAAAAUUUAUCAGUACUUUUUAUGUCGACGCUCUUGUUGCCAUCACCUAUUAAAAGAUUUAUUUUUUUUAUUUUUUAUAAUCCGAUAAGCUUCUUUAUUGUUCUUAUUAGUUUAAUAGGCAUAAGAAAAAUUAUUAUGCUUCAAGUGCAAGUAGAUGUGCUGCUGAUUAAACUAAUGAGGGCAAUAUGUUUUGCCGCCCAAGCCAAGCCAUCUGAGUCACCCCUUUUUUCCCAAUUCUUUUAUAUCUUCAACCAAGGUUUUCUUUUUGCCGGCCUUCUUGUUGCCGGAACCUAUUAAAAUAAUUUUUUUAUUUUUCAAUCGCAAAAUAUUUGUAUUUUUUAAUUAUAUUUGAAAUAUAUAUAUACAUAUAUAAGUGUAGGCGAACACAACGCCGAUAUAAAAAAAUCAUUUUUUAUAGAUUGAUCAAUCACUAUAUGAUUAUGGAAGGUGGUGCUGACAGUGAGAUUGUCAGCGCCAACAUGAACGGUAGAAAACAAGUCAUUUUCGUACAAGAUUUUACACUUAAUCAUUUUGAAAAAAAACUCUAAACAAAUGUUAAAUAUAAUGGUAAGAGACAUUGUAAUUCUGAAGAGAGAACAUGUGCUCAAACCUUCGAGAUAAUAUUGUUAGGAGAAGCAGUUACGAACCUCGAACAUAAAUCGUAAAUCGAAUACGAGGAAUAAAAAAAUAAAAAUUUUAAGAAUAUUUUAAUAUUAAAUGGAAUAGACAAAUAUGGUGAUUAGAUUUUGCGCAUUGUAUUUUAAAGAGGCUUUUUUGGUGCCCUUAUUUAUUUAUGUUAUCAAUUUUAACUAAAAGAGAUCCCCAGAUUUGGACCAAAAAGAAAAGACCCCAGAAUAUAUUGAUGAUCUUAGUCCAAUGGCAGUAAUCCAAGUUGACAAAUCUCCUUUUUGUUCUCCAUUGUAUUGAAGACCUCCAUUACACUCAAAGGGUCAAAGCUUGGUCAUAAUAGCUCUCGAAACCAUUUUUUUGAAAAUAAAAUUAAGUUAUCGACUUUAAAAAUAAAAAUUGGAGUCGCCACCGAUCCUUGAUUGAGGUGUGAUCGGCUCACUUUAAAAACGAUUUUGGUCUGCGAAAUUUGAGAAACUAGGUUCGGGAGUCAGUUACGCACGAGGAAGGGUUAGCACCCUCGUAACGCCCAAAAAUCGGUACCAAAUUUGAUUAUUUUAUGUCUUGAUGUCGAAAAUUUGAAAAGAGUUAAAAUAAAAAUUUUAAACUCGAGAAUGAAUUAAAAUGGUAAACAUUCUUAUUUCAAAGAAAUAAAACAUCACACCCAGUGAGUUAGGGCACAAUAUUUUUAAAUCUUCAAAAUCAAGUUCGUCGUUGGUUUUUGAAAUUCUUAUUUCGAGUUGAUAAAAUGUCACGACCAGUAAGUUAGGACCCGACAUUCUUGGAUUCCCGAGAAUAAGCUUUUAUUUGAAUCUUUGUGAAUUUAUUACAAAAUAAAUAUUUGGUUUUCCAAAUUCAUCGAAAAAUAAUCACAAUCCAGUAAGUUAGGACACAAUCUUUCUCGAGAAUCAAGAAUGCCAAAUAUUUAAAAUUUAAAAAACAAUUUUAAUGCUUUGACAAAACUAAAAUAUAUUUUCUUUGAAAACAUGAUAAAAUGCGAAUGCAUAUAUAUAUGUAUUCAAAAAUCAUGAAAAAUGAAUUAAUAAUAAAAUAUACAUACNNNNNNNNNNNNNNNNNNNNNNNNNNNNNNNNNNNNNNNNNNNNNNNNNNNNNNNNNNNNNNNNNNNNNNNNNNNNNNNNNNNNNNNNNNNNNNNNNNNNNNNNNNNNNNNNNNNNNNNNNNNNNNNNNNNNNNNNNNNNNNNNNNNNNNNNNNNNNNNNNNNNNNNNNNNNNNNNNNNNNNNNNNNNNNNNNNNNNNNNNNNNNNNNNNNNNNNNNNNNNNNNNNNNNNNNNNNNNNNNNNNNNNNNNNNNNNNNNNNNNNNNNNNNNNNNNNNNNNNNNNNNNNNNNNNNNNNNNNNNNNNNNNNNNNNNNNNNNNNNNNNNNNAAAAAAACUAAAAUAAACCUAAAACUACCAAUUAGGGAUCAAACUGUAAAAUAAACAGAAUUAAAAGGCUGAAUUUAAAGAUAUAAAACACUAAAAAGGACUAAAUUAAAAUGCGCGCAACAGGGAAGGAUUGAAAGGGAAAUUAAUCCCAUCUUCUAAAAUGCUGCGCAGCAACACGAACCAAAUUAAAACAGUAAUAAAAUAUUUUGCGAAAUUUAAAAGAAAUAAAAAGACAAUUUUAUAGCACUGUAAAAACAAAAGGGACCAAUUGCGCAAAUUAUCCACUUGAUGCCCUAUAUAAGCCUAUUUUAAAACCCUAAAACACCACUCCUCUGCCAUUUCAAGUGUUUGCGCCGCAGCCUCCCUUUCUCUGCCGUUCUCCCAACUCCGAACAGAUAACGACGAAUGAGGGCGCCCAACGACGGUAAGUCCUCCUUUCCUUCUUCUCUUCCAAAAUCGUUUUCUUUCUCUUGUAUUUCUUGUUAAUUUUCAUACAAAAUUUUUGCUAACCCCUAUUACAUAAAUCAAUUCCCUUUAUAUAGCCCCCCAAUCCUUUUACCAGUUUUUGCCCUGUCUCUCUUGCUGAUAUCGUUCGUGGCUUAUUGCAGGUGCGUACUAGAGGAGACAUGUGCGACGUGCGCGCGGAGGGCUGAACGUGGGCGGUUACUGCGACGUGUGUGGGGUGCGACUGCUGAUUGCUGCGAUGUGGGGCGUGCACGACGUUAGGGUAGCUACUGUUAACCACUGUUUAGGGUUAGACUGGGAUUUGGGCCUUAUUGGGCCAAAUGUAAUUGGAUUAGAUUGAUUAAUUUGGGCCCCGGGCAUCAAUUGGGUAUUACAAUAGUACUACAAUAGCUUUAAGAGGUUGCUGCCAUUGUUGGAGUGCUUUUCUGGUGCCUGCAAUAGCCAACUUAACUGAGCUGUUCUUGGGCUUAUAUUCACGUACAUACAAAUACAUAUAGAAAUAUGACUUUUUGUGUAUUUCUGCAUUUUUUUUAUAUCAUAGACUGCUCUGCAAUUUAAAAUCCACCUGAAAUUAAUUUCCAAUCCACCCGAAAGUUAUUUAUACUUUGAGAACUUAAUUAGAACAUUAUGAAAUCUAGAAAAUUUAAAAUUCGAUGUAUAAUUUUAAGAUGUAAGAUGAAUUAACCCUAUGAUAAAUCAUAACAUAUUUAUAAGUUUGAUACUCAUUAACAAAUUGAUUUUAUAUUAUAAGUUAAAUUUUAAUUUUUUUGGUGCUAUAACGAAAUUUCCUUAAAAGAAUAUAAAUUUUAGAAUUUUUAUGAAUAUUUUGAUUUUAAAAAUUAUUUUAAAAUUUUUUUUGUAAUUUUUGUUGAGAGAGAUUAAUUUGUUAAUUUUAAAAUUGACAGGAAUCAAAGGAGUAUAUAUAUCAAUCUGUUGUUUGAAUUAUUCGAGUUAUUUAAAUUAUAAAACUCAACUCGAAUCUCGAAUUAUAAAUAUUUUUAAUAAUAUAAAACAUAAAAAAUAUUAAAAUUAAAUAAUAAUAUAGAAAUGACAAUAUUUCUCACGCUCUAAGAAAGAUUGAAAGCUAAAAUUUAAAUAUGUCUCUUUCAAAAGUGAAAAAUUUUAUAUAUUCUAUUAUCAAAAUUUUCACUCAUUGUGUCCAUCAAUCUAAAAGGUGAAUUGACUUAUACACAUUGGUUGAACCUUGUUUUUGUGCAAUAAAAACUUAGACAUUUGCAUGCAAUGCCAAAGACUUAAGACUUACAAGGCCUAUAAUAUUUCAUACUAUCAUUUUUUCUGGUCCUAAAUUAAAUAUUUUAAAAUUUUCAAAUUAAGUCAUUACUCAUAAUUUGAAAACUUAAUUAAAAUAUUAUAAAAUUUAGCGGUCAAUUUAAAAUUCGAUGUAUAAUUUUGAGAUGUAAGGUGAAUUAACCAUUUUGGAUACUCAUUAACAAAUUGAUUUUAUAUUUAUAUUUUUGGUACUAUAACAAAAUUUACUUAAAAAAUUAAAUUGUAAUUUUUUAUUUUAAAAAAUUAAAUGAUGUAGAAAUAAUUAUAUAUAACAUAAAAAUGAUAAAAUUUACCUGAGUUUAAAAUAAUUUAAAGUUAAAAUAUUUGAAACAUGGAUUUUUUUUCUAAAAAGUCGGUACCUAAAAUAUAUAAUUUAAACUCAAAAUAUCUGUUGAAUUAUCAUCUUUACUCAUCCUAUGCGUAGUAAUGGUUCUAAUAGGGUUUAAAGUGCUAUAAUUUAGUCUUUUUUAAUGACUUAGAUUUAGACCAUUAUUUAUAUAGAGUAAGGAGCGGGCAAGAAAACUACAACCUUGAUAUUAAUAAGUUAAUGAGAUCCACAAAUAUUAAAAUCUCAUUCUUCAAAAUUAAAAUGGAAAAAAAAAGAAAGACUUGACUAAAGUGGUGGAACAUUAUGUUGAUGCAGUAUUGAUUGGGCAAAAAGACUUGGAAAUUGCAUGCUAUGCCAAACAUGAGAACUACACAUUUCUGUAUAAAUAAGUUGUAUGCCAAGCACAAUCCUUCUUCACACCCAACAAACAUGAACACUCUUCAUUUCCUUAUUUCACCCUUCCUCUUCUCAUGCUUCCUUUCUCUUGUCUUGUCUUUUUCAUCUCCUCAAACUCAUCUCCCUAAGCAAUGCCUUGAUGACCAGAGAGCUCCUCUGCUGCAAUUGCAGCAUCAUCUUUACUAUGCCCCUAAUUUUACUUUCUCUUCCAAAUUUGACCUCUGGGAUGUCAACACUGAUUGUUGUUCUUGGGAAGGAGUCACUUGUGAUGCUUAUGGUCAUGUCGUUGGCAUUGAUCUUAGUUACAAAAACCUUUCAGGCAGCUUCCACUCCAUAUUCGAUCUCCAUCGUCUUCAACGCCUUAAUCUUGCUGGAAACAACUUUAGUACCACUCUGUUCUCGUAUGGGUUUGAUAAACUCCAAAAUCUAACUCAUCUCAACCUUUCAAGCUCAUGUUUCCAUGGCCAAAUUCCAAUGAAGAUCUCACACCUAACAAGGUUAGUUUCUCUGGACCUAUCUAGUCAAGGUGAUUACUGUUGGAGAAAUGGUUACGAUUAUAAUUCAGCUACUUUAAAAUUGGAGAAACCAAACUUCAAGACAUUUAUCAAGAAUUUGAAGUUUCUCACGGAGCUUUAUUUGGAUAGUGUGGACAUUUCAACUCAAAGUGCUAAAUGGUGUGAAACCACAUCUCUUGUACUUUCCAACCUGCGUGUGUUGAGUCUGUCAAACUGUGGUUUGAAAGGUCCAUUAUGUUCUUCACUCUCAAGACUCUCUUUUCUUUCCAAACUUAUCCUUGAUUGCAACCCAAUCUCUUAUUUACCUCCCAAUUUCUUGGUAAAUUCCUCUCGUUUGGUUUCUCUCAGUUUGAUGGGUUGCAGUUUGAAUGGGCAUUUUCCAACCGGAAUUCUCUUAUUGCCAAAAAUUCAAAGCAUUGACAUUUCAUUUAAUCACCAACUUAUGGGUCAGUUGCCAGAAUUUCCAGCAAACAAUGCAUUACUGAGUCUGUCACUUCAUGACACAAAUUUCAGUGGAAAACUACCUGAAUCGAUUGGUAAUCUUAAGUUCCUGACAAAUUUAGACCUUUCUGAUUGCAAUUUUUUUGGACCCAUUCCAUCGUCAAUUGCAAAUCUUAGUCAUCUGGUGAACUUGGUUCUAAGUUCAAACAAGCUUUCUGGAUCAAUACAUUCUUCUUUAUUUACUCUUCCAUCGUUGAAGAACCUGUAUCUUGGAGAAAAUCAAUUGGUUGGGAAAAUUGAUGAGUUCCCCAAUGCAUCUUCUUCUUUGAUUCAAGAAUUAAGUAUGGGAAAUAAUUAUUUAACAGGACCAAUCCCAAAGUCAAUCCUUCAACUUCCAUGGCUUGAAAAACUUAAUAUUGGAGACAAUAGCUUUAGUUUUAUGAAGCUUGACAUGUUUGUCCAACUCAACAACUUAAGGACUCUUGGGCUAAACAAUAUAAGCUUGUUAAUUGAAAGCGACAACAGAAGUCUUCCUUUUCCCCAAUUAGAGACCCUAAGGCUAAGGUCAUGCAACCUUACUGAAUUUCCAGAAUUCAUUAAAAGGCAAGACAAGUUGGUUGGCUUAGAUCUUUCGAACAACCAUAUCCAUGGUUUUGUGCCCAAUUGGUUGUGGAAGAGCAGUCUUUCAUGGGUAGACCUAUCUUUCAAUGUGAUUGAUUUUCCAAAACAGCUUCCCUUAAAUGAUGCAAACAUCUCAAUUCCAAUGUUGAAAAAAUUCGAAGCAUCUUAUAACAAUUUGAGUGGCCCAAUUCCAAAUUGGUUAUGCAAUAUGAGUCAACUUAGCAUUUUUGGUGCAUCUAAUAAACAUGUUAACAUGAGAAUAAACAUGUCAACUCUGAUAAUCAGUAGAAAGAAAACUCAACAUAACCCUGUCUCUAGACCUCCCUUUUACUAUUAAAUACUUCCUCAAAACACCUUCUCUUUGGAACCCAGCUUUUUCAAGCACCCUUUGAGACCCCACAUUUUCAACAUCAACCAAAGCCUCGAGUCUCUCCAAAUGUGGCCAUUCAACAAAUAUGGUCUCAACCACCAUCUUCACAGCUCUCGUUACAAUCCCUUUACCCCAAUAUUUGAAUGCCAAAACAUACCCAAGUUCACCCCUGCAUUUAUCAUUGCCUGAAUUUGCACUUACCGAAAUAGCACCAACCGGUCGGUCGUCAAUACAUAUUGCUCUUAACCAAGGAUGAGGCACAACAAUGUUCUUUAUGUAAUUCAAGCCAUCUUCUUUGUUGGUAUAAGGUUCCCAAGUACAGAAACGUGUCACUUUUUCAUCACUGGCCCAGACCAUGAAAUCAUCCACAUCUGAAACUUGUAAUGGUCGGAGAGAUAGGUUGGGAUAUUCAUCUUUGGCUUUGAUUUGGUCUGAUUGAACAACAGAGGUUACUGCCAUGCUGGGUUUCUUGUAAAAAAAUUUGGGUUAAUCUCUGAAUGUGUAAUUAAUUUGAAGUUUUGGAUGAGAACUAAGAAG